GAGACCUGUACCCUUAUUUGCUAACGCGCUAGCAAUGGCGAGCGAGCACAAUAAGGGAACUGCCUUGGAAACAAGGAGGAAGGCGCAGGCUACGGUAGGUCUGUAUGCCCCGAAUCUCCUGGGCUACACGCGCGCAACAUUGGUAGGUACAAUUGGAUGCAACUCCGAAAGGAGAAGCCAACCCUCGAAAACCUACCCUGGUACAGAUUGAGGAUUGCAACUCAUCCUCAUGACGUCGGAAUCCCUAGUAAUCAGAAGUUAGCAACUUCCGGUGAAUAU
rnacentral:rRNA from 1 species